GGAUGCGAUCAUACCAGCACUAAAGCACCGGAUCCCAUCAGAACUCCGAAGUUAAGCAUGCUUGGGCGAGAGUAGUCCUAGGAUGGGUGACCUCCUGGGAAGUCCUCGUGUUGCAUUCC
rnacentral:rRNA from 3 species